AUUGAACGCUGGCGGCAGGCCUAACACAUGCAAGUCGAGCGGCAGCGACUUAACUGGACCUUCGGGGAACGUUAAGGGCGGCGAGCGGCGGACGGGUGAGUAAUGCCUGGGAAUAUGCCCUGAUGUGGGGGAUAACUAUUGGAAACGAUAGCUAAUACCGCAUAAUCUCUUCGGAGCAAAGAGGGGGACCUUCGGGCCUCUCGCGUCAGGAUUAGCCCAGGUGGGAUUAGCUUGUUGGUGAGGUAAUGGCUCACCAAGGCAACGAUCCCUAGCUGGUCUGAGAGGAUGAUCAGCCACACUGGAACUGAGACACGGUCCAGACUCCUACGGGAGGCAGCAGUGGGGAAUAUUGCACAAUGGGGGAAACCCUGAUGCAGCCAUGCCGCGUGUGUGAAGAAGGCCUUCGGGUUGUAAAGCACUUUCAGUAGGGAGGAAGGUAGUGCAGUUAACACCUGCAUUAUUUGACGUUACCUACAGAAGAAGCACCGGCUAACUCCGUGCCAGCAGCCGCGGUAAUACGGAGGGUGCGAGCGUUAAUCGGAAUUACUGGGCGUAAAGCGCAUGCAGGCGGCCUGUUAAGUCAGAUGUGAAAGCCCGGGGCUUAACCUCGGAAUUGCAUUUGAAACUGGCAGGCUAGAGUCUUGUAGAGGGGGGUAGAAUUUCAGGUGUAGCGGUGAAAUGCGUAGAGAUCUGAAGGAAUAUCAGUGGCGAAGGCGGCCCCCUGGACAAAGACUGACGCUCAGAUGCGAAAGCGUGGGGAGCAAACAGG
rnacentral:rRNA from 1 species